rnacentral:rRNA from 1 species
AGUGAACGCUGGCGGUAGGCCUAACACAUGCAAGUCGAACGGCAGCACAGUAAGAGCUUGCUCUUACGGGUGGCGAGUGGCGGACGGGUGAGGAAUACAUCGGAAUCUACUUUUUCGUGGGGGAUAACGUAGGGAAACUUACGCUAAUACCGCAUACGACCUACGGGUGAAAGCAGGGGAUCUUCGGACCUUGCGCGAUUGAAUGAGCCGAUGUCGGAUUAGCUAGUUGGCGGGGUAAAGGCCCACCAAGGCGACGAUCCGUAGCUGGUCUGAGAGGAUGAGAAGCCACACUGGAGAAGAGAAAAGGUCCCCAGUCCCACGGGGGGGAGCAGGGGGGGAAAUUGGGGAAUGGGGGGAAAACUGUGACCGCCCCAACGCGUGGGGGAAGAAGGGCCUCGGGGUGUAAAGACCUUUUUUUGGGGAAGAAAAACAGAAGGGUUAUAACCCCCGGUUCUGAAGGGGCCCCAAAAAAAAAAACCCGGUAAACUUGGGU